CUCUUGGCGAUCUCUGUCGCACCUGCUUUGGUAAACAAAUCGUUACCACCUUUACACAUCUCCAGCCCUCUACAAUUAAGGAGAAAUUAAUUGAAGAAUACUGAACGUUCUAGAUUCCUCUGGUUCAACAUUCUCUGAAACCAGAAGUUAAGAUCUCCUUGCGCGGGGGUGGUUGCAGCGCGGCGGUCUUGCCUUUCUGUCUAUGCUGAUGAAAUGGAAAACUCUUCGAUGUGUUGUUCCAAGCUCCCCAAAGCCUAUGGCGACUUCAAAAACACCCAGAGUACAUCCCUAGAAAGGCUGAUCAAAAAGGCUGAUGGAUUUGCAGAAGUCUUUCCAGAGCAUAAGUACGAGAAUGUUAGUAGGCUGCAACAAAGGAACCAUAUGUGGUAUGACAAGAGAUGGUGUGAAUGAUACCCCAGCUCUCAAAAAGGCGGAUAUUUGGUAUAGCUGUUGCUGGUCCUAAUGAUGCUGCAAGAGGCGUUUUUGAUAUUGUUCUCACAGAACCUGGACUGAGCGUUAUCAUCAGUGCAGUUCUUACCAGUAGAGCCAUAUUCCAAAGAAUGAAAAACUACACUGUGAGUCAAAACUUUCAUAAAGUUUUACACAGAGACACUAAUUCAAAUCUUGACAUCGUCUUUCUGUGUCGAUUUAUGCGGUUUCAAACACGAUACAUAUUGUGUUUGGCUUCAUGUUCAUUGCUCUCCUAUGGGAGUUUGAUUUCACGCCUUUCAUAGCAAUCUUAAACAAUGGAGCAAUCAUGACAAUAUCAAAGGACAACGUGAAGCCAUCUCCACAGCCAGAUAGCUGGAAACUCAUAGAAAUAUUCUCGACUGGAGUCAUGUUUCGAGGCUACCAGGCCUUGAUGACUGUCGUUUUCUUCUGGGCGAUGAUAGACACUGAU